GACGAACGCUGGCGGCGUGCCUAAUACAUGCAAGUUGAGCGCUGAAGGUUGGUACUUGUACCAACUGGAUGAGCAGCGAACGGGUGAGUAACGCGUGGGGAAUCUGCCUUUGAGCGGGGGACAACAUUUGGAAACGAAUGCUAAUACCGCAUAAAAACUUUAAACACAAGUUUUAAGUUUGAAAGAUGCAAUUGCAUCGCUCAAAGAUGAUCCCGCGUUGUAUUAGCUAGUUGGUGAGGUAAAGGCUCACCAAGGCGAUGAUACAUAGCCGACCUGAGAGGGUGAUCGGCCACAUUGGGACUGAGACACGGCCCAAACUCCUACGGGAGGCAGCAGUAGGGAAGCUUCGGCAAUGGACGAAAGUCUGACCGAGCAACGCCGCGUGAGUGAAGAAGGUUUUCGGAUCGUAAAACUCUGUUGGUAGAGAAGAACGUUGGUGAGAGUGGAAAGCUCAUCAAGUGACGGUAACUACCCAGAAAGGGACGGCUAACUACGUG
rnacentral:rRNA from 1 species